rnacentral:rRNA from 1 species
UACGGAGGGUGCAAGCGUUAUCCGGAUUCACUGGGUUUAAAGGGUGCGUAGGUGGGCAGUUAAGUCAGUGGUGAAAUCUCCGGGCUUAACCCGGAAACUGCCAUUGAUACUAUCUGUCUUGAAUAUCGUGGAGGUAAGCGGAAUAUGUCAUGUAGCGGUGAAAUGCUUAGAUAUGACAUAGAACACCAAUUGCGAAGGCAGCUCACUACGGAUAUAUUGACACUGAGGCACGAAAGCGUGGGGAUCAAACAGG